CGUGGAGGAUGAAGGCCUUCGGGUUGUAAACUCCUGUCAGUAGGGACGAAGGUGUCAGGGCUAACAGUCCCUGGCUCUUGACGGUACCUGCAGAGGAAGCCCCCGGCUAACUCCGUGCCAGCAGCCGCGGUAAUACGGAGGGGGCAAGCGUUAUUCGGAAUUAUUGGGCGUAAAGGGCGCGUAGGCGGCCUCACAAGUCAGGGGUGAAAUCCCUCGGCUCAACCGAGGAACUGCCUCUGAAACUGUGAGGCUUGAGUCCGGGAGAGGGUGGUGGAAUUCCCAGUGUAGCGGUGAUAUGCGUAGAUACUGGGAGGAACACCGGUGGCGAAGGCGGCCACCUGGACCGGUACUGACGCUGAGGCGCGAAAGCGUGGGGAGCAAACAGGAUUAGAUACCCUGGUAGUCCACGCCGUAAACGAUGGGCACUAGCUUGGGGUCUCCCUGUGUGAUCCCAGGUGAAGCAAAAGUGAUAAGUGCCCCGCCUGGGGAGUAUGGUCGCAAGGCUG
rnacentral:rRNA from 1 species